UAGUGUUGAAGAGUUUGACAGGUGUUAUAUCAUGUUUAAUGUUUAAUUUGUCUCUUUUAAUGCAUUUAAUAAUUACAUCUGUAUUUGUAUCCUGCCUUUAUAUUCUUCAGUAAGUGGCCAUAGUACACAACUGAUACACACAAAUAUCAGAAAUAUUCUACCUGGUACCAAAAGCAAACACAUAAGUGCUUUACAGAAAAAGCCAGAAAGCCAGAAAGCCAGCUUGGGAGCGUAUUUAAGUAGGUCAAAGUCUGAGAGAGGGUGAAGCUCUCUUCUUCACGAAGAGAAAACCAGCCAGCAACCUGGCUUUCUCAGAAAGCUUCCUGACUCUUUCUGAGAAAGCCAGAAAGCUUCCGGAUGUCACUCUAUGUACUAGACGGUUGGAGCUGUGUAGUGGUGGUGUGUAUAUCCAGCCAGAAAGUACGCAACACACAGUUAGACACACAGUAUCUGGAGUGUUUUGGGUUGUGUGAGGAUCGAACUACCAACCUUUUGCUUACUGAACGCCCCAUUCUACCUCUGAACCACAGACUCCCCUUCAAGAUUUUACAAUAUAGUAGCUGUGGAAGUUGGAACAAGGGAGAGGCGACGCACACGUUUGGUUUAACUGCAGACAACACGGGAGAAGAUGAUCUGCUGGAUCCUGCUGCUCAUCAACCUGACCUCCUGUGUCUGUGGAACAUUUGUAGUGAAUGUGACACAGACCUCCUAUCAGGCAGAGGAGAACCAUAACAUCACACUGGAAUGGACGUUCACAACCAACACUGAAAGUUCCCUCAACUUCCUUUUUAUCUACUGUAGACUGAUUACCGAUCACAAGGUUUCAGUCCUGUAUCAUCUACAUGAAGGUGUCGAGGUCUCAGAGUCUCAGGAUGAACAGUUUAAAGGACGAGUCCAGUGUGACAAAGACGUCCUCAGAGAAGGACGAAUCCGACUUCAUGUGUCCAGACUCAGGACUGAAGACUCGGGCCGGUACCUGUGUAACGUGAGAACAAAUUAUGGUGCGAGCUCUGAAAGAUGUCAACUCAGAGUCACUGCAGCUGCUGAUGAGCCCAAACCUCAGAGACCAACAGAGAGUCCACAACAAGAGAGUCACAAAAUGAUCGUCCUCUAUGUUGUACUGGGACUGACAGCAGUUCUACUGGCUGUCUGUGUUGGACUCUGCUCUGCCUCCUGUCAUUGUUUGCAUAAAUCUGAUGAUGAAACAGGAAACGUCUCUGCAGCUGUACAGGUGUUGACACAACCCAUCAGGACUAAGAGGACUCUGUCUGGAGGAUCCUCUUUCUGUCAGAAUGAGUCAUCAGAGUGUUUAACAACUGACUGAUGAAACCAACAGACUCUGAGACUCUCUACCUUCAACAUCUGUUUCAAGUGUCAGAAAACUAUUUGUUAUAUGAAAUGUAUACUUUUCUGUUAAAUGGUGUUCAUGUUACUACAGGUUUAAGUUUAAAUGAAGUUAUGUAAUAAUGUAAUGUCAUAAAUGAAGUAAUGUUAAUGAUGCUUCCACUGUGAUCCCAGAUGUUCCAUGUUUGAUGUCAGACAGUUAACAUCAGAAGUAGAGCAAAGACAUCUAAACAGCCAUCGUCUGAUUGAUCCUCCACUGUAAGCUCUCUACAAUGUCCCAGUUGUUUGAGUUGUCAGUGUAUGAAGAGUUUCUCAGAGGAAUCAUUCACAUUGAGCUGUAAGUUGGUUCAGUCAUUGAUCGCUCUGUUCUCCCUCCAGCUGUUAUCAAUCAUCAGUCUUAAACAAUGAGUCUGAAUCAACAAGACAACAGAAUUAGAAGAGAAUUGUUCAUUAUUAUAUCUUAAUCCUCCUGAUGGAUAUUGUUACAAUGCACUGACUUUGUGCUCUUUAUAACGUGUACAUAUUGUAAAUAAAUCUCUCUUUAUAUGAGAGAAGUUGUUAUGAAUCUUCUGUGAAUAUGUUCAAUAAAGUGCACACAGUGCAGAUCUCAGAUCUGUCUAAUAAGUGAUAGAGUUUGAUGAGGCGUCCUAUCAAAAUAAAGGACAGCGUAAAGGUGAACAA